GUCUUUUUGAUUAUAAUAUAAAGUCUGACCUGCCCAAUGAAAAUUUAAAUGGCCGCGGUAUUUUGACCGUGCAAAGGUAGCAUAAUAAUUAGUUUUUUAAUUGAAAGCUGGAAUGAAUGGUUGGACGAGAAAAUAACUGUCUCAAAUUAAUUUAAUUAGAAUUUUAUUUUUAAGUUAAAAAGCUUAAAUUUUUUUAAAAGACGAGAAGACCCUAUAGAGUUUUAUAUAUUUAUAAUUAAAUUUAAUUUAGUAUUUUAGUAUUUUUAUUUUUAAAUGUAUUUUAUUGGGGUGAUAAAAAAAUUAAUAAAACUUUUUUUUUAUAAUAACAUUGAUAUAUGAAUCAUUGAUCCAUUUUUUAUGAUUAAAAGAUUAAGUUACCUUAGGGAUAACAGCGUAAUUUUUUUUUAGAGUUCUUAUCGAAAAGAGAGAUUGCGACCUCGAUGUUGGAUUAAAAUUAAUACUUGGUGUAGAGGCUAAGUUAUUAGGUCUGUUCGACCUUUGAAAUUUUACAUGAUCUGAGUUUAAACCGGUGUGAGCCAGGUUGGUUUCUAUCUUUAAAUAAUUAAAAUAUUUUAGUACGAAAGGACCAAAUAUUUAUAAAAUUUAUUGAAUUUUGAAUAAUAUUAG
rnacentral:rRNA from 1 species